rnacentral:rRNA from 1 species
GAUGAACGCUAGCUACAGGCUUAACACAUGCAAGUCGAGGGGCAGCGCAGUGUAGCAAUACAUGGGCGGCGACCGGCGCACGGGUGCGUAACGCGUAUCCAACCUUCCCGAUACUCAGGGAUAGCCUUCCGAAAGGGAGAUUAAUACCUGAUGGUGUUUCAAUUCCGCAUGUUAAUGAAACUAAAGAUUUAUCGGUAUCGGAUGGGGAUGCGUGACAUUAGAUAGUAGGCGGGGUAACGGCCCACCUAGUCUACGAUGUCUAGGGGUUCUGAGAGGAAGGUCCCCCACACUGGAACUGAGACACGGUCCAGACUCCUACGGGAGGCAGCAGUGAGGAAUAUUGGUCAAUGGUCGGAAGACUGAACCAGCCAAGUAGCGUGAAGGAUGAAGGUUCUAUGGAUUGUAAACUUCUUUUAUACGGGAAUAAAGCCCAUUACGUGUAGUGGUUUGUAUGUACCGUAUGAAUAAGCAUCGGCUAACUCCGUG